rnacentral:rRNA from 1 species
CCUACGGGAGACAGCAGUGAGGAAUAUUGGUCAAUGGCCGGAAGGCUGAACCAGCCAAGCCGCGUGAGGGAUGACGGCGCUGAGCGUCGCAGACCUCUUUUGCCGGGGCGCAAAAGUCCGUACUCGUCCGGUCCUCAGGUGACCCGGAGAAAAAGCAUCGGCAAACCACGUGCCAGCAGCCGCGGUAAUACGGAGGAUGCGAGCGUUAUCCGGAUUCAUUUGGUUUAAAGGGUGCGCAGGCGGGCCUUCAAGGCGGCGGUGAAAUCGCGGGGCUCAACCCCGCCGAGCCGUCGGAACUGGGGGCCUUGAGUGCGGCGGAGGCAUGCGGAAUGCGCGGUGUAGCGGUGAAAUGCAUAGAUAUCGCGCAGAACCCCGAUUGCGAAGGCAGCGUGCCGUGCCGCCACUGACGCUGAGGCACGAAAGCGCGGGGAUCGAACAGGAUUAGAUACCCCAGUAGUC